CGCAUCUGUGCAUGCAGCAUAUCAAUAAGCGGAGGAAAAGGCUGCGGAACUGAACGACCGCUACCUACGCUUAGGAUGUUGACACACGCGCGUGCUCGACUCUAUACAUGACUCUGUGCAUAUCAAUAAGCGGAGGAAAAGGGUACCUACGCUUAGGAUGUUGACACACGCGCGUGCUCGGCUCUAUACAUGACUCUGCGCAUAUCAAUAAGCGGAGGAAAAGGUACCUACGCUUAGGAUGUUGAUGUGAUACUGCGAGGCUCGCAGUAUCGGCUCUAUACAUGACUCUGCGCAUAUCAAUAAGCGGAGGAAAAGAGGGCUAUUACCUACGCUUAGGAUGUUGACACACGCGCGUGCUCGACUCUAUACAUGACUCUGUGCAUAUCAAUAAGCGGAGGAAAAGAAACUAACAAGGAUUCCCUUAGUAACGGCGAGUGAAGCGGGGAAGAGCUCAAAUUUGAAAUCUUCAAGGUUUUACCUUGACGAAUUGUAGUUUAAAGAAGUGUUUUCUGUUGAAGUUUUGGUAAAAGUUCUUUGGAAUAGGACAUCAUAGAGGGUGAGAAUCCCGUAUUUGACCAUUAUUUUCAGCUGUGUGAUACACUUUCAAAGAGUCGGAUUAUUUGGGAAUGCAGUCCAAAAUGGGUGGUAAAUUUCAUCUAAAGCUAAAUAUUGGCGAGAGACCGAUAGCGAACAAGUACCGUGAGGGAAAGAUGAAAAGAACUUUGAAAAGAGAGUUAAACAGUACGUGAAAUUGUCAAAAGGGAAGCGUUUGACACCAGUGUUGUUUUCUCGAAAAUCAAUUAAAAAGAGUUUGAUUUUGUUGUGUAUUGACCUUAACAGCUUGCAUUUCAAUUUUCUUGCUUUUUUUAAUGCACUUUUCGUUUAACAAGUCAACAUCAGUUUCUUUUGUUGUAAAAAGGUCAUUGGAAGGUGGCUUUCUUUUCGGAGAAAGUGUUUAUAGCCUUUGACUCCUGCAAUCGGAGAGACUGAGGUCUGCAGCGUAGAUCCUUCGGGGUUAGAUACAUUUGUGCUAAGUUAUAGCUUUUUAUAGACAACUUGUUGACUAUGAUUAGUCUUGUAGCUUACUCGCUUAUGCUAUUUUACCUACGCUUAGGAUGUUGACACACGCGCGUGCUCG
rnacentral:rRNA from 1 species